CUCCACCUUCUUCCUCAGGUAUCGCUGGUUCAGCUUCCAAAUGCAGGAGAUGAAGGAGUUUUUCUCAGCUGUACUGCUGGCCACCCACCGGUACACCUUCUCAAAGUGAAGGUCAAACUCAGGAUUUUCCUAAACAAAAAAGGAAAAAGCAAGCAUAUGAUCAAUAAAUGAGGGGAAAAGGAUACAGAAUGAGAGCUGAACAAGACGUUAACAAUGCCCAGGAGACGCUCAUCGUUGGGUGUGAAGAUGUCCCUCUGGAGAGCAUGCUUGAUGGCUGUCAUGGUGGAUGCUGUCAUACAGAAAGCCCACCAGCCCUCUGCAAAGCACCGCCCUCUCUUCCUGGUUCACAGGCGGAGCGGUCAUGUGACAGUCACAGUGUCAACAUCCACUGAUCCACCCACAGAGGCAAUAACCAUACAGUUUACUAUGGCAAAAACACAUUAAACAACCUCAUUAUGAUUUCUGCAAAGUUUUACACUCAUACAUUUUCAUGUUCUGAGAAAAGUAUGCAAACUAUACUUAGAGAAAAACAUAUUUGAUUAAUGUAUCUAUUGUGUAUGCAUGUAUAUUAUAUGUAUACAAACAAUUGUAUAUUGAUCCCUUUUAUCAUCUCUUUUUUGCCCUUUCAACAAAACAUUUGAUAUGCUAAAUAAAGAAUACUGUAUCCUGUU